rnacentral:rRNA from 1 species
CCUACGGGAUACAGCAGUGAGGAAUAUUGGUCAAUGGACGAGAGUCUGAACCAGCCAAGUAGCGUGAAGGAUGACUGCCCUAUGGGUUGUAAACUUCUUUUAUAAAGGAAUAAAACGAGGCACGUGUGCCUUUUUGCAUGUACUUUAUUAAUAAGGAUCGGCUAACUCCGUGCCAGCAGCCGCGGUAAUACGGAGGAUCCGAGCGUUAUCCGGAUUUCUUGGGUUUAAAGGGAGCGUAGAUGGGUUGUUAAGUCAGUUGUGAAAGUUUGCGGCGUAACCGUAAAAUUGCAAUUGAUACUGGCAGUCUUGAGUACAGUUGAGGUAGGCGGAAUUCGUGGUGUAGCGGUGAAAUGCUUAGAUAUCACGAAGAACCCCGAUUGCGAAGGCAGCUUACUAAACUGUGACUGACAUUGAUGCUCGAAAGUGUGGGUAUCAAACAGGAUUAGAUACCCCAGUAGUC